rnacentral:rRNA from 1 species
CAAUAGCGUAUAUUAAAGCUGUUGCGGUUAAAAAGCUCGUAGUUGGAUUUCUGUCAAGGACAACUGGUCCGCCCUUCGGGUGAGCACAUAGUUUGGUCUUGGCAUCUUGUUGGAAACUGUUGCUGCACUUGGUUGUGUGGCGCAGCGUCCAGCACUCUCACUUUGAGGAAAUUGGAGUGUUUCAAGCAGGCACAUGCCUUUGGACACAGUAGCAUGGAAUAAUUAGAUUGGGCUUUUGCUCCAACUUGUCGGUUUCUGGAGCUGAGGUGAGAAUUAAUGGGGAUUGUUGGGGGCAUCCGAAUUUAGCCGUCAGAGGUGAAAUUCUUGGAUCUGCUAAAGACGGACAACUGCGAAAGCGUUUGCCCAGGAUGUUUUCAUUGA